AUUUAGCAAAUCUAAAGGAUUGUAGUGGAAAUCCUUUGCUGCCGGGGUUCGGCAGCAAAGAUUGUAACGGAAAGCGGGACGAUGC
rnacentral:sRNA from 1 species